AGUGCAUUAAGCAGUGCUACAUCUUAUUUUAUAGACCUUUUAGCUUUUCCCAGAGGAAAGAAGGCAGGUAAAAGCUGAAAUGAACAGUCUUGCAUUCUUAGUUUACAGUUAUUAUUGCUCUAAUGAAACAACAUGACCAAAGCAACUUGGGGAGGAAAGGGCUUAGUGGACUUCUGCUUCCACUGCACUGCUCAUCAUCAGUGGGAAGUCAAGUCAGGACAGGAACGAAAGCAGGGCAGGAAACUGGAGGCAUGAGCUGAUAACAGAGGCCUGGGAGGGGUGCUGCUUGCUCCACAUGGCUUGCUCCUGCUUUCCUAUAAAACCCAGGACCAUCAGGCCAGGAUGGCCCUGCCCACAAUGGACUGGGCUCUUCUCUAUCAAUCAUUAAUUAAGAAAAUGCCCUACAGGGCUUGCCUACAGCUUGGACUUAUUGAGGCAUUUUCUUAAUUGAAGCUCUUUCAUCUCAGAUGACUUUUUGUAGCUUGUGCCAAGUUGACACAAAACUUUUUUAUUAGAGUCUCAGUGUCUCCUCGUAGUUCUUUGUGCCAUUGUCUUUUAAGACUUAUACCUAAUAAACUUACAUUUUACUGACUUAUACUUGGCAUUAGCAUUUAGCAAGGUUGCAGUUUAUUAUGGACGGUGACAGGACCAAAAUAAGAUGUGUUUUUAAAUUGGGUUGUCUUAAAGAAUUGAUAACCUAUUUUUGUUUCUGUCUCUCUUUUAACAAAAAUUAAUUUAGCUGGGUGUGGUGGUAUAAAUCUUUAAUGCUAGCAUUUAGUAGAGGCAGUUGGAUCUCUGUGAAUCUCAGGCCAACACCAUAGUGUGUUUCAGGGCAGCCAGGAUAUUUAGUGACUAUGUCUCACAAACCAAAAAAUAAAAGUGAAAGAUUAAAAAAUAAAAAUUGCUCUGCCCCGUUUUUCUCUCUGAGCCCUUUCUCCCUCUUUCCUUCCUCCUUCCACGUGCUGUGGCUGGUCUCCUUUCUUUCUGUUUCUGUACUCCCUUCUCAACUCCCCUUCCCACCCCCCAAAAUAAACUAUUCUAUACUACCAAAUUAAAUAAAUAAAUAAAUGUUAAAAUAAAAAUUUUAAUUUAUAGUUUCUUAUUUAAUUUUUAUGUGUAUGAGUGUUUUGCUUCCAUGUAUGUAAGUGUGUGUACUGUGUUGUGACUGAUAUUCACGGUGGACAGAAGACAUCAGAUUUCCUGGAGCUGCAGUUAUAGCCAUGUGUGAGCUGUCAUAUGGGUGCUGGAAGAUCAGUAUAUGUUCUUAAUUAAAGCACUGAGCCAUCUUUCCACCCCCUUUUCCUUUUUUAAAGAUCUUGUUUUCUUUCUUUUUUUUUUUUUUAAAGAUUUAUUUAUUUAUCAUAUGUAAGUACACUGUAGCUGUCUUCAGACACUCCAGAAGAGGACAUCAGACUUCUGUUACAGAUGGUUGUGAUCUACCCAUGUGGUUGCUGGAAUUUGAACUCUGGACCUUCAGAAGAGCAGUCAGUGCUCUUAACCGCUGAGCCAUCUCUCCAGCCCCUUUGUUUUCUCUAUAAAAUACUGGUUAAUCUUUUGGGGAUUGAGUAGUUUAGGUAAAGAUAAGAUUUAAAGGAAAUCAAAUUGUAAAGCACAGCCUUAGUGACUAAACACUUCCACCAGCAGAAGACUUUUUUUUUUCAUUUCAUUAUUAUUCUUCAUUUACAUUUCCAGUGCUAUCUCAAAAGUCCCCCAUACCCUCCCAACCCUCCCACUCCCCUACCCACCUACUCCCACUUCUUGGCCCUGGCAUUCCCCUGUACUGAGGCAUGUAAAGUUUGCAAGACCAAGGGGCCUUUCUGCCCAUACCUAAACAUGAUAAAAGCAAUCUACAGCAAACCAGUAGCCAACAUCAAAGCAUAAGACUUCUUAAAGGGUCUAAAGUCACAGCCAGCACUCUUCAAUCUGACUGUGUGGGAAUUAAAUAGGGAAUGUUGCUGGAAUGCAUUGUUACUGUGAAUUUGGGGAGGAGCCUGAGAUGUGCAUUUUCUCCAGGCCAAGGUUGAGAUUUUUGCUCCUCUUUGAGAAGUCAGUUUGCAUAGUUGUCAGGUUUCUUGGAAAACAAAAACCUUAGAGAUAAUUUAUCUCUUGGUGGCUGGGAUUGGGGUGGAAGUGUGUUUGAUCAAGUAAGAUAGAUAGUUGAGGAUGUUCUCCCGUUCAGGUGAAGAAGCCAGCCUGGGGAGAAGUGAAGUGCUUUGUUUAUAUCGUUUAUAGACUGAGCUAUGGAUUUGUGUGAUUAACUGUUAAAUAAACUUUUAAUCUUAAAAUAAUUAUCUAAGAGUAUUUAAUCUUAGAGUAAUAACUCAUGUGUUAUUAGGUCAGUGAACAACAUGCCCUAAUAACACAGAUUGCCUGUAACUUUCAGUUAUUUUGGGUGACAACAUAUCGUACAGAAUAUACUUAAUCUAAAAAUCCAAAAAUCCCAAAAUUUUAAAAUCGAUACAUUACUCGCUUAACUUUAUAGAGAAUGUUGGGCAGGUAGAAUUAGCCUUUUGAGAUAGUCCUGAGCUCAGCGUCACUCUUGAGUAUUAGCUCAGUUCUAUGUAUGAAGUAGUUUCUUCCCUCUUGUUUUCUGCCUCGAAUUCUGUCGAUUGUUCCACAGGUUAAGCAUUCGUACACUGACAAGCAUCUGAGUCCCUUUUGACUUCCAGAUAAAGUGGCUAAGAACAUUCAUGUUCUAGUGGAGUAAAUGCAGGUUUUCAUUUUUUUGAAGUGGGGUGAUAAUAUUUCUGUUAUGGUAACCACUUGAUGUUAUGUAUGGCACUCUAUGUGUUAGUCAUUAAAAUUCCAUAGAUAGAAUGAUGGAUGGUGGUGACAAAUGAAAAGUUAACAUUAAAGCGGGCUUCUUAUAGGACAGCUGCUUAGAAUACUGCAGCCAGGAUACAGUGUAUGUUCUGAUAACUCCGCUUUUUUAAGUUUCACACUUACAUGUUUAUUUGUGUGUGAGUGUGUGUGUCACAGUAUAGGUGGAGAGAAGGACAACUUGCUGGAGUCAGUUUUAUCAUGUGGGGCCUGGAGAUGAAACUAAGGCUUGGUGGCAGAUGCAUUUACUGGCUGAGCCAUCUGGCCAUCCUAUCUAUUCUUACAAGACUGAAGCAAAGAACUACAGACACUAAGGACCUAUAAGUUUUAGCAGUACUAUUCGAGUUAGCUCUUAUAUUAUUCCUUUGUUUGUAUU
rnacentral:lncRNA from 1 species